CCAACAGGGAUUGCCUCAGUAACGGCGAGUGAAGCGGCAACAGCUCAAAUUUGAAAUCUGGUCCUUCCAGGGCCCGAGUUGUAAUUUGUAGAGGAUGCUUCGGGUGCGGCGCCGGUUUAAGAUCCUUGGAACAGGACGUCAUAGAGGGUGAGAAUCCCGUAUGUGACUGGCGAUCAAGCCCUUGUGAAGCUCCUUCGACGAGUCGAGUUGUUUGGGAAUGCAGCUCUAAAUGGGUGGUAAAUUUCAUCUAAAGCUAAAUACCGGCCAGAGACCGAUAGCGCACAAGUAGAGUGAUCGAAAGAUGAAAAGCACUUUGGAAAGAGAGUUAAAAAGUACGUGAAAUUGUUGAAAGGGAAGCGCUUGCGACCAGACUUGCCCGUGGGUGAUCAGCCGUUAUUCUUAGCGGUGCACUCGCCCAUGGUCAGGCCAGCAUCGGUUUGGGCGGUUGGAUAAAGGCCCCGGGAACGUAGCUCCCUCCGGGGAGUGUUAUAGCCCGGGGUGCAAUGCAGCCCGCCCGGACCGAGGACCGCGCUUCGGCUAGGAUGCUGGCGUAAUGGUCGUAAGCGACCCGUCUUGAAACACGGACCAAGGAGUCUAACAUCUAUGCGAGUGUUUGGGUGUCAAACCCAUGCGCGUAAUGAAAGUGAACGGAGGUGGGAACCCUUUAGGGCGCACCAUCGACCGAUCCUGAUGUCUUCGGAUGGAUUUGAGUAAGAGCAUAGCUGUUGGGACCCGAAAGAUGGUGAACUAUGCGUGGAUAGGGUGAAGCCAGAGGAAACUCUGGUGGAGGCUCGCAGCGGUUCUGACGUGCAAAUCGAUCGUCAAAUCUGCGUAUAGGGGCGAAAGACUAAUCGAACCAUCUAGUAGCUGGUUCAUGCCGAAGUUUCCCUCAGGAUAGCAGUAACGUUUUCAGUUUUAUGAGGUAAAGCGAAUGAUUAGAGGCCUUGGGGUUGAAACAACCUUAACCUAUUCUCAAACUUUAAAUAUGUAAGAAGUCCUUGUUGCUUAAUUGAACGUGGACAUUUGAAUGCACCGUUACUAGUGGGCCAUUUUUGGUAAGCAGAACUGGCGAUGCGGGAUGAACCGAACGCGAGGUUAAGGUGCCGGAAUGCACGCUCAUCAGACACCACAAAAGGUGUUAGUUCAUCCAGACAGCCGGACGGUGGCCAUGGAAGUCGGAAUCCGCUAAGGAGUGUGUAACAACUCACCGGCCGAAUGAACUAGCCCUGAAAAUGGAUGGCGCUCAAGCGUGCUACCCAUACCUCGCCGCCAGGGUAGAAACGAUGCCCUGGCGAGUAGGCAUGCGUGGGGG
rnacentral:rRNA from 1 species